rnacentral:lncRNA from 1 species
GGAGAACAUCCCGUUUCUGAGCCCCUCUCCGUGGGAGACCCAGUAUAAUGACUUCUUCCAAAAUGUGUGAGCCAGGGAAGCCCCCAAAUUGUUCCCAUCGACCAGUUUGUCGGGUGUCUUGGAGUUCUGGUGAGUUCCAAUGGAAGUUCCACGGGGCAUUUAUUGGCCCAGUAUAUGAAGAGCACCACAGUAGAGCUCACCUUGGUCACAGGUGCGUCCAGGGCUCAAACAGUGGCCAGUCACUAGUCUCACUGCUUUGCUGGCUUUCCCCGGCAGUGGUGCUCAGGUUGCAAUCAAGAUGGCAAGGUGGCAUCCAGUAGUGGCUCAAUACCCCCAGGCCCCAAAUGAGGCCUACCUCCCCAGUGGCUGCAGCAUAAAAUUUGACAUUAGAUGUGAUGGGGCUCCUUGGGCUUCUAGGGUCACGUCUGAACUCAUCACGCCACCUGCGGCUGGCACCUGCUGAUUGGCCAUCCCUGGAUCUUGUGACCACUGAGGGGUAGAGCCAACCACGUCCUUCAUCUUGUGCCUUCCCUGUCCUUCCCGCACCCCCGGCUGCACUGGCCCUUGCGGAGCACAGAUCAGCUACGGGACUGGGUCACUGCAACCCUCGUCUCAGGGACCAUUCAGGAGACACCUCAAUGGAGACGCAGGAGCCUCCCGGCAGCUGCUUUAUUCGCUUUUCAAAAACCAAAUCUCUGGUGAACUCAUGUUGAAACCCAACCCAAUGAUGGGGGAGCCUGCGACCUUCCAAGCCCGAGACACAGCUGUCGUGAAAGAUCUUUUGGGGAACCUCUGCGGAGGGGACUUAAAGGGGACCUCGUUGAGGGGCGGUGGCUGCUGUGUCUCAGAACAAAGGACAAAGGUUGCCCCGCUGUCCACCCGGAGAGGGAGACCAGGGUGCUGGAAGGACGCGUGGAAAGCAUGUGCUCUCUGAGCACAAAGGGGCUCCCUCCGUGGGGACAGGUUGAUGACUUGAAAGUACACCAUCCUUUGAUUCAGAAUUUCACUGGUUUUUGAUGGAUUGUUUGUUUUGGUCCUGG